rnacentral:sRNA from 2 species
AGAAAUGUUUUCUAGGGUUCCGCAGCCUGUGUGCUGGCCUGGUCCGAGAGAAAACUCAUAGCUUUUCGCUAUGCCACGGAAGGACAAAAGCCUGGGAGAA